UGGCUCAGGACGAACGCUGGUGGCGCGCCUAACACAUGCAAGUCGAACGGUGAAGAGGAGCUUGCUCCUCGGAUCAGUGGCGGACGGGUGAGUAACACGUGAGCAACCUGCCUACCAGAGGGGGACAACAGUUGGAAACGACUGCUAAUAUCGCAUAACGUGCACUAAGGGCAUCCUUGGUGUACCAAAGAUUUAUCGCUGAUAGAUGGGCUCGCGUCUGAUUAGAUAGUUGGUGGGGUAACGGCCUACCAAGUCGACGAUCAGUAGCCGGACUGAGAGGUUGAACGGCCACAUUGGGACUGAGACACGGCCCAGACUCAUACGGGAGGCAGCAGUGGGGGAUAUUGGACAAUGGGGGCACCCUGAUCCAGCGACGCCGCGUGAGGGAAGAAGGUUUUCGGAUUGUAAACCUCUGUCAACAGGGAAAAUGAUGAUGGUACCUGUGGAGGAAGCCACGGCUAACUACGUGCCAGCAGCCGCGGUAAUACGUAGGUGGCAAGCGUUGUCCGGAAUUACUGGGUGUAAAGGGAGCGUAGGCGGGACGGCAAGUCAGAAGUGAAAAUUAUGGGCUCAACUCAUAACCUGCUUUUGAAACUGUUGUUCUUGAGUGAAGUAGAGGCAAGCGGAAUUCCUAGUGUAGCGGUGAAAUGCGUAGAUAUUAGGAGGAACACCAGUGGCGAAGGCGGCUUGCUGGGCUUUUACUGACGCUGAGGCUCGAAAGCGUGGGGAGCAAACAGGAUUAGAUACCCUGGUAGUCCACGCUGUAAACGAUGAUUACUAGGUGUGGGGGGAUUGACCCCUUCCGUGCCGCAGUUAACACAAUAAGUAAUCCACCUGGGGAGUACGACCGCAAGGUUGAAACUCAAAGGAAUUGACGGGGGCCCGCACAAGCAGUGGAGUAUGUGGAUUAAUUCGAAGCAACGCGAAGAACCUUACCAGGUCUUGACAUCAAGUGACCGGCACAGAGAUGUGCUCUUCUCUUCGGAGACACGAAGACAGGUGGUGCAUGGUUGUCGUCAGCUCGUGUCGUGAGAUGUUGGGUUAAGUCCCGCAACGAGCGCAACCCUUAUGAUUAGUUGCUACGCAAGAGCACUCUAAUCAGACUGCCGUUGACAAAACGGAGGAAGGUGGGGAUGACGUCAAAUCAUCAUGCCC
rnacentral:rRNA from 1 species